AUGGAGGCAGCAGUGAGGAAUCUUGGUCAAUGGGCGCAAGCCUGAACCAGCGACGCCGCGUGAGUGAUGAAGGCCUUCGGGUUGUAAAGCUCUGUGGGGAGGGACGAAAGACUGAGGUCUAAUAGGCUUCAGGUUGACGGUACCUCCUUAGCAAGCACCGGCUAACUCUGUGCCAGCAGCCGCGGUAAGACAGAGGGUGCAAACGUUGCUCGGAAUCACUGGGCGUAAAGGGCGUGUAGGCGGGAAGAUAAGUCGGGCGUGAAAUCCCCAGGCUCAACCUGGGAACUGCACUCGAAACUGUCUUUCUUGAGUGUCGGAGAGGAAAGCGGAAUACCUGGUGUAGAGGUGAAAUUCGUAGAUAUCAGGUGGAACACCAGUGGCGAAGGCGGCUUUCUGGACGAUAACUGACGCUGAGACGCGAAAGCGUGGGGAGCAAACAGGAUUAGAUACCCUAGUAC
rnacentral:rRNA from 1 species